AGUGAACGCUGGCGGUAGGCCUAACACAUGCAAGUCGAACGGCAGCACCGUAAGAUCUUGCUCUUACGGGUGGCGAGUGGCGGACGGGUGAGGAAUACAUCGGAAUCUACUUUUUCGUGGGGCAUCACGUAGGGAAACUUACGCUAAUACCGCAUAUGACCUACGGUUGAAAGCAUUGGAUCUUCUCACCUUGUGCGAUUGAAUGAGCCGAUUUCGGGUUAGAUGGUUGGCGGGGUAAUGGCCCACCAAGUCGAGGAUCGGUAGCUGGUCUGAGAGGAGGAUCAGCCACACUGGAACGGAGACACGGUCAAGACUCCUAAGGGAGGCAGCAGUGGGGAAUAUGGGACAAUGGGGGCAAGCCUGAUACAGUGAGACCGCGUGGGAGAAGAAGGCCUUCGGGUUGUAAAGCCCUUUUGUUGGGAAAGAAAAGCAGUAGGUUAAGACGCCGCUGGAGUGACGGUACCCAAAGAAGAAGCACCGGCUAACUACGUG
rnacentral:rRNA from 1 species